ACUCCCGUAACUCAGUUGGUUAGAGUAUCAAGCUUAUAUGAUCACUGUAUAUUUGCUAGAUUAUAUGUCCUCUUGGAAGUCGGGAGUUCGAUCCUCCCCGGGAGUA